rnacentral:rRNA from 1 species
GAGUAUAGUGGCGACGGUGAGUACGCGUGGGAACCUGCCCGUUAGUGGGGGAUACAUGGCUAACGUGCUGCUAAUACCGCAUGUGUCCCCGGAAUCGCAUGGUUCCGGGAAGAAAUGUGGUCUCUCCUUGGAAGCUAUCGCUUAAUGAUGGUCCCGCGUCCCAUUAGCUUGUUGGUGGGGUAAUGGCCUACCAAUGCGACGAUGGGUAGCCGGNCUGAGAGGGUGUGCGGNCACACUGGGACUGAGAUACGGCCCAGACUCCUACGGGAGGCAGCAGUCGAGAAGCUUCGGCAAUGGGCGAAAGCCUGACCGAGCGACGCCGCGUGAGCGAUGAAGGUCCUAUGGAUUGUAAAGCUCUGUCAGAUUGGGAAGAAAACUUCGCGAUUAAUACCCGCGAAGCUUGACGGUACCAUCAGAGGAAGCACCGGCUAACUCCGUGCCAGCAGCCGCGGUAAUACGGAGGGUGCGAGCGUUGUUCGGAUUCACUGGGUAUAAAGGGUGCGUAGGCGGCCUCGUAAGUCAGGGGUGAAAUAUGACGGCUCAACCGUCAAACUGCCCCUGAAACUGCAAGGCUUGAGUCCGGGAGAGGAAGGUGGAAUUCCUGGUGUAGCGGUGAAAUGCGUAAAUAUCAGGAGGAACACCGGUGGCGAAGGCGGCCUUCUGGUCCGGUACUGACGCUGAGGCACGAAAGCUACGGGAGCGAACAGGA